GACGUAGGGCGCGAGCGUUGUCCGGAUUUAUUGGGCGUAAAGAGCUCGUAGGCGGCUUGUCGCGUCGGAUGUGAAAGCCCGGGGCUUAACCCCGGGUCUGCAUUCGAUACGGGCAGGCUAGAGUUCGGUAGGGGAGACUGGAAUUCCUGGUGUAGCGGUGAAAUGCGCAGAUAUCAGGAGGAACACCGGUGGCGAAGGCGGGUCUCUGGGCCGAUACUGACGCUGAGGAGCGAAAGCGUGGGGAGCGAACAGG
rnacentral:rRNA from 1 species